UGGACGGGCCGCGACUGGUGUCGGAUGGAACAGACCAUCGGGGAGCGGCUCCACAGAGCGGACGCCGCACGCCUGGGUGUCGCUC
rnacentral:ncRNA from 2 species